AGUGAACGCUGGCGGUAGGCCUAACACAUGCAAGUCGAACGGCAGCACAGGAGAGCUUGCUCUCUGGGUGGCGAGUGGCGGACGGGUGAGGAAUACAUCGGAAUCUGCCUUUUCGUGGGGGAUAACGUAGGGAAACUUACGCUAAUACCGCAUACGACCUACGGGUGAAAGUGGGGGACCGCAAGGCCUCACGCGAUUAG
rnacentral:rRNA from 1 species